rnacentral:rRNA from 1 species
GACGAACGCUGGCGGCGUGCUUAACACAUGCAAGUCGAACGGAAAGGCCCUGCUUUUGUUGGUUGCUCGAGUGGCGAACGGGUGAGUAACACGUGAGUAACCUUCCCUUGACUUUGGGAUAACUUCAGGAAACUGGGGCUAAUACCGGAUAGGAGCUCCUGCCGCAUGGUGUGGGUUGGAAAGUUUCGGCGGUUGGGGAUGGACUCGCGGCUUAUCAGCUUGUUGGUGGGGUAGUGGCUUACCAAGGCUUUGACGGGUAGCCGGCCUGAGAGGGUGACCGGCCACAUUGGGACUGAGAUACGGCCCAGACUCCUACGGGAGGCAGCAGUGGGGAAUAUUGCACAAUGGGCGGAAGCCUGAUGCAGCAACGCCGCGUGCGGGAUGACGGCCUUCGGGUUGUAAACCGCUUUCGCCUGUGACGAAGCGUGAGUGACGGUAAUGGGUAAAGAAGCACCGGCUAACUACGUG